AUGCACGGCACACAUAUUUAAAAUACACUUUACAUCUCGUCUGAUCUCAGAAGUUAAGCAGGGUCGGGCCUGGUUAGUACUUGGAUGGGAGACCACCUAGGAAGACCAGGUGCUGCAGAUG
rnacentral:rRNA from 1 species